rnacentral:rRNA from 1 species
CGGCAAACGGGUGAGUAACGCGUGAGAAACCUGUCUUUCACAAAGGGAUAGCCUCGGGAAACCGGGAUUAAUACCUUAUGAUACUAAAGUAAUGCAUAUUACAUUAGUUAAAGUGUAAAACGGUGAUAGAGGGUCUCGCGUCCCAUUAGCUAGUUGGUAAGAUAAAGGCUUACCAAGGCAAUGAUGGGUAACCGGCCUGAGAGGGUGAACGGUCACACUGGAACUGAGACACGGUCCAGACUUCUACGGGAGGCAGCAGUGGGGAAUAUUGCACAAUGGAGGAAACUCUGAUGCAGCGACGUCGCGUGAACGAUGAAGGCUUUCGAGUCGUAAAGUUCUGUCUUUAGGGACGAUAAUGACGGUACCUAAAGAGGAAGCCCCGGCUAACUACGUGCCAGCAGCCGCGGUAAUACGUAGGGGGCGAGCGUUGUCCGGAUUUAUUGGGCGUAAA